GACGAACGCUGGCGGCGUGCCUAAUACAUGCAAGUCGAACGCUGAAGCUUGGUGCUUGCACCGAGCGGAUGAGUUGCGAACGGGUGAGUAACGCGUAGGUAACCUGCCUGGUAGCGGGGGAUAACUAUUGGAAACGAUAGCUAAUACCGCAUAACAGUAGAUAUCGCAUGAUAGCUACUUGAAAGGUGCAAAUGCACCACUACCAGAUGGACCUGCGUUGUAUUAGCUAGUUGGUGAGGUAACGGCUCACCAAGGCAACGAUACAUAGCCGACCUGAGAGGGUGAUCGGCCACACUGGGACUGAGACACGGCCCAGACUCCUACGGGAGGCAGCAGUAGGGAAUCUUCGGCAAUGGACGGAAGUCUGACCGAGCAACGCCGCGUGAGUGAAGAAGGUUUUCGGAUCGUAAAGCUCUGUUGUAAGAGAAGAACGAGUGUGAGAGUGGAAAGUUCACACUGUGACGGUAUCUUACCAGAAAGGGACGGCUAACUACGUG
rnacentral:rRNA from 1 species